UACAGAGGGUGCGAGCGUUUGUUCGGAAUUACUGGGCGUAAAGCGCGCGCAGGCGGCCCUUUAAGUCUACCCGUGAAAUGCCGGAGCUCAACUCCGUGCACGCCGGGGGAUACUGGGGGGCUGGAGACAGGUAGAGGCAAGCGGAAUUCCGGGUGUAGCGGUGGAAUGCGUAGAUAUCAAGAGGGAACACCUGAGGUGAAGACGGGUUGCUGGGCUGACACAUGA
rnacentral:rRNA from 1 species